UACGUAGGUGGCAAGCGUUGUCCGGAUUUAUUGGGUUUAAAGGGUGCGUAGGCGGCCCUGUAAGUCUGUGGUGAAAUACUCUAGCUUAACUAGAGGGGUGCCAUUGAUACUGCAGGGCUUGAGUACAGACGAGGUAGGCGGAAUUGACGGUGUAGCGGUGAAAUGCAUAGAUACCACCAAGAACCCCGAUUGCGUAGGCAGCUCGCUGAGCCGAAACUGACGCUGAGGCACGAAAGCGUGGGGAGCGAACAGG
rnacentral:rRNA from 1 species